UACCUGCAGCCCGAGUGGUGGCCGUUAUUAUUGGGCCUAAAACGUCCGUAGCCGGCUGAGUAGAUGCCUGUGUAAAUCGAACGGCUUAACCGUUCGAACUGCGGGUAGACCGCUCAGCUUGGGACCGGGAGAGUCACGAAGUACUCCGGGGGUAGAGGUGAAAUUCUGUAAUCCUCGGGGGGACUACCGGUGGCGAAGGCGUCGGUGAUA
rnacentral:rRNA from 1 species